UCCCGUUUAGCUCAGUUGGUAGAGCGCGUCACUAGUAACUGGUAAUGACGAGGUCAGUCGUUCAAAUCGGCUAAUGGGAA
rnacentral:tRNA from 1 species